rnacentral:rRNA from 1 species
GACGAACGCUGGCGGCGUGCUUAACACAUGCAAGUCGAACGGACAGGUCCUGCUCUUGUGGGGUGCUCGAGUGCCGCACGGGUGAGUAACACGUGUGUAUCCCGUACCUGUCUUUGGGAUAACACCAGGAAACACCGGCUAUUAUCCGAUAGGAGCUCCUGAUGCACGGUGGGGGAUGGAAAGUUACGGCGGUAGGGGAUGGUUUGGCGGCUUAUCAGCUUGUUGGGCGGGUAGUUGCUGACAAAGGCUUUGACGGAUAGCCGGCCUGGGAAGGUGACCGGCCUCAAUAGGACUGAGAUAGGGCCCAGAAGGCUACGUGAGGCAGUGGUGGAGAACAUUGCGCAAUGGGCGGAAGCCUGUUGCAGAAACGCCGCGUGCGGGAAGACGUCCUACGAGUUGAGAACCACUUUCGCCUGAGACGAAGCGUGAGUGACGGUAAUGGGUAAAAAAGCACCGGCUAACUACGUG